UUUGGUUAAGUUAGAAAGGGCGCACGGUGGAUGCCUUGACACUAGGAGUCGAUGAAGGACGGGACUAACGCCGAUAUGCUUCGGGGAGCUGUAAGUAAGCUUUGAUCCGAAGAUUUCCGAAUGGGGAAACCCACCAUACGUAAUGGUAUGGUAUCCUUAUCUGAAUACAUAGGGUAAGGAAGACAGACCCAGGGAACUGAAACAUCUAAGUACCUGGAGGAAGAGAAAGCAAAUGCGAUUUCCUGAGUAGCGGCGAGCGAAACGGAACAUAGCCCAAACCAAGAGGCUUGCCUCUUGGGGUUGUAGGACAUUCUAUACGGAGUUACAAAGGAACGAGGUAGACGAAGCGACCUGGAAAGGUCCGUCGUAGAGGGUAACAACCCCGUAGUCGAAACUUCGUUCUCUCUUGAAUGUAUCCUGAGUACGGCGGAACACGUGAAAUUCCGUCGGAAUCUGGGAGGACCAUCUCCCAAGGCUAAAUACUCCCUAGUGAUCGAUAGUGAACCAGUACCGUGAGGGAAAGGUGAAAAGCACCCCGGAAGGGGAGUGAAAGAGAUCCUGAAACCGUGUGCCUACAAAUAGUCAGAGCCCGUUAACGGGUGAUGGCGUGCCUUUUGUAGAAUGAACCGGCGAGUUACGAUCCCGUGCGAGGUUAAGCUGAAGAGGCGGAGCCGCAGCGAAAGCGAGUCUGAAUAGGGCGUUUAGUACGUGGUCGUAGACCCGAAACCAGGUGAUCUACCCAUGUCCAGGGUGAAGUUCAGGUAACACUGAAUGGAGGCCCGAACCCACGCACGUUGAAAAGUGCGGGGAUGAGGUGUGGGUAGCGGAGAAAUUCCAAUCGAACCUGGAGAUAGCUGGUUCUCCCCGAAAUAGCUUUAGGGCUAGCCUUAAGUGUAAGAGUCUUGGAGGUAGAGCACUGAUUGGACUAGGGGUCCUCAUCGGAUUACCGAAUUCAGUCAAACUCCGAAUGCCAAUGACUUAUCCUUAGGAGUCAGACUGCGAGUGAUAAGAUCCGUAGUCAAAAGGGAAACAGCCCAGACCGCCAGCUAAGGUCCCAAAGUGUGUAUUAAGUGGAAAAGGAUGUGGAGUUGCUUAGACAACUAGGAUGUUGGCUUAGAAGCAGCCACCAUUUAAAGAGUGCGUAAUAGCUCACUAGUCGAGUGACUCUGCGCCGAAAAUGUACCGGGGCUAAAUACACCACCGAAGCUGCGGAUUGAUACCGAAUGGUAUCAGUGGUAGGGGAGCGUUCUAAGGACAGUGAAGUCAGACCGGAAGGACUGGUGGAGUGCUUAGAAGUGAGAAUGCCGGUAUGAGUAGCGAAAGACGGGUGAGAAUCCCGUCCACCGAAUGCCUAAGGUUUCCUGAGGAAGGCUCGUCCGCUCAGGGUUAGUCAGGACCUAAGCCGAGGCCGACAGGCGUAGGCGAUGGACAACAGGUUGAUAUUCCUGUACCACCUCUUUAUCGUUUGAGCAAUGGAGGGACGCAGAAGGAUAGAAGAAGCGUGCGAUUGGUUGUGCACGUCCAAGCAGUUAGGCUGAUAAGUAGGCAAAUCCGCUUAUCGUAAAGGCUGAGCUGUGAUGGGGAAGCUCCUUAUGGAGCGAAGUCUUUGAUUCCCCGCUGCCAAGAAAAGCUUCUAGCGAGAUAAAAGGUGCCUGUACCGCAAACCGACACAGGUAGGCGAGGAGAGAAUCCUAAGGUGUGCGAGAGAACUCUGGUUAAGGAACUCGGCAAAAUGACCCCGUAACUUCGGGAGAAGGGGUGCUUUCUUAACGGAAAGCCGCAGUGAAUAGGCCCAAGCGACUGUUUAGCAAAAACACAGCUCUCUGCGAAGCCGUAAGGCGAAGUAUAGGGGGUGACACCUGCCCGGUGCUGGAAGGUUAAGGAGAGGGGUUAGCGUAAGCGAAGCUCUGAACUGAAGCCCCAGUAAACGGCGGCCGUAACUAUAACGGUCCUAAGGUAGCGAAAUUCCUUGUCGGGUAAGUUCCGACCCGCACGAAAGGUGUAACGAUUUGGGCACUGUCUCAACCAGAGACUCGGUGAAAUUAUAGUACCUGUGAAGAUGCAGGUUACCCGCGACAGGACGGAAAGACCCCGUGGAGCUUUACUGUAGCCUGAUAUUGAAUUUUGGUACAGUUUGUACAGGAUAGGCGGGAGCCUUUGAAACCGGAGCGCUAGCUUCGG
rnacentral:rRNA from 1 species